AUGGGAGCACAACCGCAACAGCGACCGCCAUGGAUCCCCUGCUUCCAACCACGCCAAGUUCGUCGUCGUCGCACCGAGCCCGUCGCCGGCCGCCGACAUUGCCUCUGCUUCGCACCCCAUGCGCCGCUGUGCCCGGCUUCCUCUCCUUCUCCGAGUGGUGCACCUCAGGAACCGGCCAAGGAUUCCCGGGCCGCCAUGGUUCCUCCUCAAGCUCCAAGUCCUCGCAUCUCCAGCCAUCUGUGGCGUUCCCGCGCCAAGCUGUCGUCCCCUUCCUUGCCUGAAGUCGCCGUGCCCGGUUCCAGACUCUGCAUCGAGCAGAGGAGGACGAACGCCUCGCCCGAUCCGUUCCAAGUCAGGCGCCCGCGUUGA
rnacentral:rRNA from 1 species